GAGAUGAUAGAUAGUUGCAACUCCAACUCAAGCCAUUUACUUCCCUUCAUGUUCAAAGUUCAAAUCAUGCUAUAUUUCUUUCUUCAAAAUCCAUAUAUUUCUACUAUCUACUAUUAAUAAGUGAAGUUUUGGUGAACGACGAAUGGGACUUUAGUAAUUAAUAUGUUUUUCAUGGGCAUUAUGUUAACUGAUCCAACUCACUUUCGGUUCCCAAUUGUAUAAUACCAUGUGAUGCUGUGGCCAACUCUCUCUUUCACCUUUUGCAUGUGUCCAUUCUAGGAAGACAGAAGGUGAUAUUUGGCUUCACUCUUGUAAUUCUGUAAAUUUUGUAAUGCUGCAGCUCUUGGUGGUCCCAGUGGAUAGCUUCUUGAGCAAUAUACUCAGGCCUUCCCACUGAAUGGAACUAAAUUGGCUUACAUUGAACUAGCCGGCAAGCAGUUCACUGUUUCUGGAAGUUUGGAAAGCAGAAAUACUGCACUCGAAUAAUACAAAGUUAGAUAAAAAAUAUCAACCAUGUUCAAAAGUCUAUGGAUAGCUCUGUAGAGCUUAGCUUUCAAAAGGUAAGCUCUUACAAAAGUUUUCUGUGCUCUUCUAAUACAGUGCUUUAUUGGUCUUAUGAUAUUCAAGGAAUUCCAGAAAUAGCCUAUCUACCUCCCAAGGUAGGGGUUAGGUCUGUACACUCUACACUCCCCAGACCCCACUUUGUGGGACUUCACUGGGUAUGUUAUUGUGCUGUUAUUGUUGAUAUUUAAGGAAUUCAUUUGAAAGCAACGUGAAUGCUUUAUGAGCUAACUUAAGAGUAGAUCAUUUCCCAGUAAACUAUGAAAUAAAAGUAUAGCAGUUGUUAAGGCCUUUUUACUAGCGGGUAGGUAGUUUUUGAUUUGAAAUUUUAAAGUUUUGAUGUUUUGACAAGAUAGACAUCAAACAAUGUCAAUUGAGUUUUCUAUUUCUUGAUAUCAGGAAAGUUCAAUAAAUGUUGAGAAAAGAUAUGCAAAUUUUUAUAGAAGCUUGAACAUGUAAGAGGAAGUUUUAUAGUGCUUGAAAAUCUGUUAAUUAUAGCUAAUCUCGAAUGUUGAUAGAGCUAAAGCUGAUCUUUGAUUAAGAAGACCAUAUGGACUAGAAUGUCAGUUCUGUUUUAAGUAGAUUGCUUUAGAAUGUUGGAUGUUACAUACCAAGUAGCCUUACCUAUAGCAUACCCGGUCACAUAGAUACAUAAAUUAUCUUAGCAACUUACGAUAUAAAUAUGAAAUUUUAAACUGAUUUAUGCUGAAAAUGGUAAGGAAAAAAGAGGACAUGGUUGUGUUCCUCUUUAUUUACUAACAAAGCUAUAAAACUUUAUCCUUGGGGCUUUCAAUUUUUCCUGGAUUCAAGAUUUAUAUCCUUACUCCCUUACUUAGAAAUAAUUACUGAAAACAUUAAAAUAGUUAUAAAGAUUCUUAAUAAUUUAUUGUAAUGGAAUCUGUUGCUUUUGCUUUUGUUGUGCACAAUUGAGCAUAUAUAAGUUACAAUAUGAGUAGUGAUCAAUAUGAGUAAGUGGGUAUCAUUGUGAAGAUAACCGAUAAAAGAAAAGUCAUCAUUCAAUUCAGGAUGGAAGAGUAAAAGAAUUUGCCCAAACAAAAUUUCUUAUGUGGAAAAUAUUUAAAAUAUGGAAUCUUUUACCGUUUAUAUUUAGGUGUCAAAUUUUUUAGCUAGCUUAAUAUAAAAUACAAUUCUGGAAGUAUUUGUGUGCCUUUUCAUGUACUGGACAUUUGAAAAAAGAUAUUGAGAAUGAACUACUCAGAUGGUUAGUGUUUAUUUGUCUUUUGAAGGUGAUAUAAAAUUUCUCUUACGCCGUUUGGUUCAAUAUGUUGCUGGUUCUGGUCUAACAAGACCGGGUAGCAACAACUCAAUAAGUGUGGGUAGCUGGUACGACGAAGGGUAUUACCGUAAUUGCACUGAGUCCAGCUGUUGCUUCUUGUUAAGCUUGUACACUGUAUACAGACGACACGUGUUUCGUCUCCAGUCUCCACUUACUCUCCCUUCAAUUGUUUCUUCACUCUCAACCCCUCUUUCUCGCUCUGUUGUUUCAGAAUAUUUAUUUUUCCAUGUUUGCAGUUUACUUGUUUGUGUAUCCUAAGGUACUUUUUGGCUUUUCAAGUCCAUGUUUUCUUGUUCGUUUGAUAUGUAUAUAUUGAAUUGUUGCUGUAGGUUUCUUUUCUGGGUUAAGAUUUGAGUGUUUUGGUUAAAUUUGGUAAUGGUUAUUUGAAUAAUUACUAUGCUAAGCAUUUAGAUAGAUUGCGUCCAUAACUCACUGAGUUCGGCUGUGUGAUUCGGCUAGGUUACCACAUCAAUUUACACCUUUUACUUACCCACUUGAUACAUCAUCAUGCUUUUGUUCCUCUGCCGUCAUUGCUAACUUGCUAUGGGUUUCCUCAUCGUUGCUUGUAGGAACGAACAAUAGUAAUUUUGAGGCUGACAUGCAUGGGCAAAGGCGAAACAAUUUCAUCGUCGGCUAGGAAACCUUGAGUUCUCUUGGUAGUGGAAUUUCGGCUAACCAAAUUCCCAAUUUUCAGUAUAACUCGGAGACCUAAAAGUUGGAAGGAAGAGACUGAAGCUGAUGCAAGUCAAGAGAUAUUCGGAAGCUCUAGCUUCAGUCGUGCAAUACCUAUCAGAUGAUGUGCUUUUAGUUUCUAGUGAGUGCUCUCUCUAACAAAAUGAUUGGUAAACUGAAACUGUAGAUUGGAUCCAUGCUACUUUAUGUGCUCACAAGUUUGUGCUUCUCUCUUUCUUAUCUUGCAGUUCACAUCUAAAAGCAUGAUACAAUCUUAGAGUGUAAGUCAAAGUUUCUUACCAUCUGAGAUACUCCGACAUUCAUUCAUUUGUUCCUUAACCAUGUUUUCAUAUCUUAUGCUUUGAUAAUUGGUCUUUGGAGGUUGAAGAAUCACCUUGAUUGCAGUAUCAAAAUAGCCUUCGCAUUCUACAUUACAAAGAGUAGUUUAUCAAUGGCUUUGGCUCAAGAUCAUGACAACUUACGAGCUGCAUUUGGGGUUCAUCAGUGAAAGGCAUUUUCAUGAUCCAAAAUUAUUAGAUGCGUCUACAAUUUGAUAGUGCAUCCAAUGUUGCUGUACUUUAUAUGCAUCAUGAACUUAAAGCUUAAUGCAACGGGUACUACUUGUUUGAUGAAACUUUUUCAUUAAUAAGAGUAACUGGAAGUCCCAUUUUGUGCAACAUCAUUCCGGUCAAACAUUUGUUGUUGGAGAUGAGAUAUUGAUGAACCAACAUGUAUUGAUUGGAAACAAAUGAAGAAUCACAGGAAUACAAUGUUUUCAUAUGUACAUUGUUGCAACUAUCAAUAUGUUGUUGAUAGUAUACUCUUGCUUUCUGCCAUUGACUUCUCGCUAAUUGGGGCUUUCGACACUAAAAAUAAAUAGUGUCAAUACUCUUAAUACAUUUUAGAGCAAAUAUAAAGCACCUUUAGACUUUACUUUUCUUGACAGGUAGCUCUUCUUUUGACAAGGCCGGGAGAAGAGUUUCAUCCUGGAACAACUCACUUUGUUAUCAACUAUGGCUGCUGAAUUUGUUAACCACUAUGGCUGCCAAAAUUCAGAUUCCACGCGAUUGCAGCAUAUCUCCUGCAUAAGUUGGUUCAUCUACAAUCUCGCUGUUUUUGCCUUCCUAGCAAGCUCAAAAAUGUAACCAUAUAACUUUGUUCCACGAUGAAGCAUAUUAUGUUAAUAUUUAGUUUAAUCAUGUUUCCAUUA